rnacentral:rRNA from 1 species
CACGUAGGGGGCGAGCGUUGUCCGGAUUCAUUGGGCGUAAAGGGCGCGCAGGCGGCCCGGAAAGUCGGAUGUGAAAACUCGAGGCUCAACCUCGAGCGUGCACCCGAUACUGCCGGGCUUGAGGCAGGUAGGGGAGAUCGGAAUUCCUGGUGUAGCGGUGAAAUGCGUAGAUAUCAGGAGGAACACCGGUGGCGAAGGCGGUGGUCUGGGCCGGCACUGACGCUGAGAAGCGAAAGCGUGGGGAGCGAACAGG